CCCGAGACGGUCUUUUCAUUUCUCAGCAGUCCGGGAAGCAAGUAGUGAGUGGCGUGGCUGUGGAUUUUUCUUAAAUUCCUCAGUUUCUACCCAACUUCUUGAGAAAAUGAGAGCUAAGUGGAGGAAGAAGCGUAUGCGAAGGCUGAAGCGUAAGCGCAGAAAGAUGCGUGCGAGGUCCAAGUAAAUCUCCAUGAGAUUUUCUCUGUUCCAUGUGUUCCGGACAGGGGAUGACGAAUGGCAGAAGAUGACGUCGCCGAAGGGGAGACUUGUCACGAAAAAAAACUUGCUGAUGAAAAUAAAUCGAUAGUCUUCUAUCCGGACAUAAGAAAA